CGAAGGUCGCGAACCCGCGAGGGGGAGCCAAUCCCAAAAAGCCGCUCUCAGUUCGGAUUGCAGGCUGCAACUCGCCUGCAUGAAGCCGGAAUCGCUAGUAAUCGCGGAUCAGCAUGCCGCGGUGAAUACGUUCCCGGGCCUU
rnacentral:rRNA from 1 species